CGGAGGAUCCAAGCGUUAUCCGGAAUCAUUGGGUUUAAAGGGUCCGUAGGCGGGUUUAUAAGUCAGUGGUGAAAGCCCAUCGCUCAACGAUGGAACGGCCAUUGAUACUGUAGAUCUUGAAUUAUUAGGAAGUAACUAGAAUAUGUAGUGUAGCGGUGAAAUGCUUAGAGAUUACACGGAAUACCAAUUGCGAAGGCAGGUUACUACUAAUGGAUUGACGCUGAUGGACGAAAGCGUGGGUAGCGAACAGGAUUAGAUACCCUGGUAGUCCACGCCGUAAACGAUGGAUACUAGCUGUUCAGAGCAAUCUGAGUGGCUAAGCGAAAGUGAUAAGUAUCCCACCUGGGGAGUACGUUCGCAAGAAUG
rnacentral:rRNA from 1 species